rnacentral:rRNA from 1 species
UACAUAGGGGGCAAGCGUUAUCCGGAAUUAUUGGGUGUAAAGGGUGCGUAGACGGGAAGGCAAGUUGGUUGUGAAAUCCCUCGGCUUAACUGAGGAACUGCAACCAAAACUAUCUUUCUUGAGUGCUGGAGAGGAAAGUGGAAUUCCUAGUGUAGCGGUGAAAUGCGUAGAUAUUAGGAGGAACACCAGUGGCGAGGGCGACUUUCUGGGCAGUAACUGACGUUGAGGCACGAAAGUGUGGGGAGCAAACA